AGUGAACGCUGGCGGUAGGCCUAACACAUGCAAGUCGAACGGCAGCACAGUAAGAGCUUGCUCUUACGGGUGGCGAGUGGCGGACGGGUGAGGAAUACAUCGGAAUCUACUUUUUCGUGGGGGAUAACGUAGGGAAACUUACGCUAAUACCGCAUACGACCUACGGGUGAAGGCAGGGGAUCUUCGGACCUUGCGCGAUUGAAUGAGCCGAUGUCGGAUUAGCUAGUUGGCGGGGUAAAGGCCCACCAAGGCGACGAUCCGUAGCUGGUCUGAGAGGAUGAUCAGCCACACUGGAACUGAGACACGGUCCAGACUCCUACGGGAGGCAGCAGUGGGGAAUAUUGGACAAUGGGCGCAAGCCUGAUCCAGCCAUACCGCGUGGGUGAAGAAGGCCUUCGGGUUGUAAAGCCCUUUUGUUGGGAAAGAAAAGCAGCAGGUUAACACCCCGCUGUUCUGACGGUACCCAAAGAAUAAGCACCGGCUAACUUCGUG
rnacentral:rRNA from 1 species